AUCCUAUAUUUAUUUAUGUUGGUCCCAUUCCUAUAAUUUAACUAUUGAAGUCCAGCCCAAUUAUCUAACAUACCCUAAGUCCCUAACAGCCCAUUAGCCCAAUUAACCUAUUCACUUAUUCAGAUGAUCCAUUUGAGUAUUGAAUAUUCAUCCCUAUACUGUCCAGCCCUAAUCUUCACUCUUCACUUCUGAGUUCACCGCCUCUGCGCCUCAGACCUCAGUCUUCACGCUGCCUUAAGCCCUUCAGCUUCACGCUUCACGCUUUACACUUUAUCAUGAGUCAGCAUACUCAGAUCAGCUUUAAAUUCUUGGGCUUGCUUUUCCAGUUCCUCCUCCAAGUUUCUCACUUGAGCUUCGAGUUGACUAUUAGUGACUAAAGAGUUAGAGUAUUCAUCAGAUUGCUUCUUCAGCUCAUUCUCCAAGCUGUCAAUCUAGGCUUCCAGUUAACUUACAAUGACAUACCAAGAAGAACACUCAUACUGCAUUUGAAGGUGGGUGUUGUUUGUUGUUGUUGUUGUGUGUUGCAGGUGUAGUGUAGGCUGUGUAGCUGUAGUGUAGCUGCUACAGGUGGUGGUGGUGAGUGAUGUUGUUUGUUGCUGUUGUUGCCUUUUAGUUUUAGGAACUCAGAUAGUAGUAAAAUUAAGAUAGUUUGUGGCUACUUAUCUUGUAAUUAGAUCAGAUUCAAUCAUUCAGCUCACCUGUCGGAGGCCAGGAUCUAUCCUCCUGUGUCAUGCUCUAAAUAAAUAUAAUGUGAGUAUGUGACUCCAGCAAAUG